CUUAAAAUUAAGAACAAAGGACAAGUUUGAACCAAAGUUUAAUAAGACUUUAUUUCUCAUCUCUUUCUAUACAUAUAUGGUUGAAAGGGCUUCUUUCCACGACAUUUUACAUAUACAAAUAACAAUGGUGUAAAUUCAAUCACCAUUACCACCGUAUAGCACAGGAGCAGCCAUCAUCAACACUAACAGUAAACCAACUGUCAACUCCAUCUCCACCACCACCCCGGCCAGCAAGCCACCAUGAGCUGCGGAAACAUCCACCACCAGCAACCACCUUGAACCGCAGUGAAGACAUGAUCAAGGAGGUAGGACUGGAUAAUGGAAGCUGAGAUGAUAACUCCAUAUGCAAGUCUGUGUGCCAACUCAAUGUAUUGUGUAUCACCAUAAAUCCUGAUUUCAACACUAUUGACCGAUUUGACAUACAACACUCUUAGAGCAUAUUUCAUAAAAAUCAGAGAUUGUUUGUGAACUAAGCUCCAAGAGUUGUUGUAUGUCAUAUCGGUCAAUAGUGUUGGAAAUCAGGAUUUAUGAUAUGACAUACACAAUACAUUGAGUUUGCACAUAUAGACUUAUAAAACUUCAUCACUCAUGCUCUUUCCUAAGUUACUUGUUUUGAUCAGGGAUCCGUGAGGAUUUAAAUUAAUUAUUAUGCAACUAAAAUGUACUCUAAGAUAGUGAUCUUUUGAUAAUGAAAACCAAUGUUAGUUCUUUGAUGUUUGUUAUUACUAUAUCUAAUAGAUUUGGUUAGUGCCUGGCUUCUUAA